ensembl:lncRNA
AGGUGUGAGUAAGAGCUAGGAGCCCAGCCCUGCACCUGGGGCUAGCCAGGGCCCUCCUGUCCUCCCGAAAACCUAUUCGAACAGGUGCGGCCCCUGGGUUCCUGGAGGGGGAGGAGCAGCACCCUGACCCUUGGGCCUCCCAAGCAGCCCUAGGGCAGUGGCCGGAAGGGUCAGGCAGGAAGAGAUGCCUGGCCCCUACCCAGCCUCGGCCCAGCCCUGCUUUGGAAACGGUCAGCGCUGCCGGGCCUUUGGCCAGGUCAUGGCUGUCCGUGGGGAAGUGGGCUGCCUCAUCCUCUGGCUUCGCUUGUCCUUGGAUCUCUCCCAGUGCCUUUGAGAGAAGAUGAAAGAACCUGGGAGCUCCCGUACCUGGAGAAGUCGUGUCUUCUCAUCCGCCUUCCCCAGCAGCACUCUCCUCCUCUACCCUCCAUCUUCCUGUCCAGCUUCAUCCGGACCACUGCAGCAGCCUCCUCUUGGAGCUCCCUGAGCACACUCCACCUUCUACAGUCUGUUCCCCUGGUGCAGCCAGAGGACCCAGGAGACCGUUGAAUCAGACCCCAGCCCUGCUUACAGUCUUCCUUAACUUCCCAUUGUAUUUAGAGUAAAAUUCACUAUAUGGCCCCACUGCACUUAGAAUAAAAUAAAAACUUCUUUUCAGGCAAAUAAUAAUAAUCAAAUCAUUAUAUGUCAAUUAUAUAUCAAU